GAUGAACGCUGGCGGCGUGCCUAAUACAUGCAAGUCGAGCGAACGGACGAGAAGCUUGCUUCUCUGAUGUUAGCGGCGGACGGGUGAGUAACACGUGGAUAACCUACCUAUCAGACUGGGAUAACUUCGGGAAACCGGAGCUAAUACCGGAUAAUAUUUUGAACCGCAUGGUUCAAUAGUGAAAGACGGUUUUGCUGUCACUUAUAGAUGGAUCCGCGCCGCAUUAGCUAGUUGGUAAGGUAACGGCUUACCAAGGCAACGAUGCAUAGCCGACCUGAGAGGGUGAUCGGCCACACUGGAACUGAGACACGGUCCAGACUCCUACGGGAGGCAGCAGUAGGGAAUCUUCCGCAAUGGGCGAAAGCCUGACGGAGCAACGCCGCGUGAGUGAUGAAGGUCUUCGGAUCGUAAAACUCUGUUAUUAGGGAAGAACAAAUGUGUAAGUAACUGUGCACGUCUUGACGGUACCUAAUCAGAAAGCCACGGCUAACUACGUG
rnacentral:rRNA from 1 species